CUAAAAAUACAAAAAAUUAGCCAGCUCACCAUGGAUGAUGAUAUCGCCGCACUUGUAGUCGACAGCUGUUCCCGCAUGUGCAAGGCUGGCUUCGUGGGCGACGAUGAUCCCUGGGCUGUCUUCCCCUCCAUCGUGGGGCACCCCAGGCACCAGGGCAUGAUGGUAGGCAUGGGACAGAAGGACUCCUAUGUGGGGGAUGAGGCCCAGAGCAAGAGAGGCAUCCUGACCCUGAAGUACCCCAUCGAGCACGGCAUUGUCACCAACUGGGAUGACAUGGAGAAGAUCUGGCACCACACUUUCUACAGUGAGCUGCAUGUGGCUCCUGAGGAGCACCCCGUGCUGCUGAUGGAGGCCCCCUGAACCGCAAGGCCCAGUGUGAGAAGAUGACUCAGAUCAUGUUUGAGACCUUCAACACCCCAGCCAUAUACGUGGCCAUCCAGGCUGUGCUGUCCUUUUAUGCCUCUGUCCGUACCACUGGCAUUGUGAUGGACUCCGGUGAUGGGGUCACCCAUACUAUGCCCAUCUAUGAGGGGUACGCCCUCCCCCAUGCCUCUUUCUGGACCUGGCUGGCCGGGAUCUGACUGACCGCCUCAUGAAGAUCCUCACCGAGAGUGGCUACAGCUUCACCACCACGGCUGAGUGAGAAAUCUUGCGUGACAUCAAAGAGAAGCUGUGCUACGUCGCCCUGGACUUCGAGCAGGAGAUGGCCACGGUGGCCUCCAGCUCUUCCCUGGAGAACAGCUUUGAAAUGCCUGACUGCCGGGUCAUCACCACCGGCAAUGAGUGAUUCCACUGCCCUGAGGCACUCUUCCAGCCUUCCUUCCUGGGCAUGGCAUCUUGUGGCAUCUGUGAAACUACUUUCAACUCCAUCAUGAAAUGUGACGUGGACAUCUGCAAAGACCUGUAUGCCAACACAUUGCUGUCUGGCAGUACCACCAUGUACCCUGGUAUCGCCGACAGGAUGUAGAAGGAGAUCACUGCUCUGGCAUCCAGCACGAUGAAGAUCAAGAUCAUUGCUCCUCCUGAACGCAAGUACUCUGUGUGGAUCGGCAGCUCCAUCCUGUCCUCGCUGUCCACCUUCCAACAGAUGUGGAUCAGCAAGCAGGAGUACGUCGAGUCUGGCCCCUCUAUCGUCCGCUGCAAAUGCCUCUAGGAAGACUGUGACUUAGUUGCAUUACACCCUUCCUUGACAAAACCUAACUUGCACAGAAAACAAGAUGAGAUUGGCAUGGCUUUAUUUGUUUUUUUGUUUUGUUUUGUUUUUUUGGCUUGACUCAGGAUUUAAAAACUGGAACAGUGAAAGCGACAGCAGUUGUUUGGAGCGAGCAUCCCCCAAAGUUCUACAGUGUGGCCGAGGACUUGAUUGUACAUGGCUCUUUUUUAAAAAAUCAUUCCAAAUAUUGCGAAAUGCAUUGUUACAGGAAGUCCCUUGCCCUCCCAAAUGCCACUCCACUUCUCUCUAAGGACAAUGGCCCAGUCCUCUCCCGAGUCCACACAGGGGAGGUAAUAGCAUUCCUUUUGUGUAAAUUAUGUAAUGAAAAAAUUUUAAAAUUUCACCUUAAUACUUUUUUAUUUUGUUUUA